AACGAACGCUGGCGGCAUGCCUAACACAUGCAAGUCGAACGAGACCUUCGGGUCUAGUGGCGCACGGGUGCGUAACGCGUGGGAACCUGCCUUUAGGUUCGGAAUAACUCAGAGAAAUUUGAGCUAAUACCGGAUAAUGUCUUCGGACCAAAGAUUUAUCGCCUUUAGAUGGGCCCGCGUUGGAUUAGCUAGUUGGUGGGGUAAAGGCCUACCAAGGCGACGAUCCAUAGCUGGUCUGAGAGGAUGAUCAGCUACACUGGGACUGAGACACGGCCCAGACUCCUACGGAGGCAGCAGUGGGGAAUAUUAGGACAAUGGGCGAAAGCCUGAUCAGCCAUGCCGCGUGUGUGAAGAAGGUCUUCGGAUUGUAAAGCACUUUAAGUUGGGAGGAAGGGCAGUAAGUUAAGU
rnacentral:rRNA from 1 species